CCAGAGCAAAGGGGAGAUAAAGGGGACACCUGUGACCUCAGGGAGGACACUGCACAUGGCAGGGACACCAUUUUAGCACAACUGGGUGUGUGAGGAGAGGGCACUGUGAGAAGUCAAGUGCCUGGAGCUGUGGCAGAGAAAGAGGCAGCAUCUGCAAGAGCUGAAGGUGUGAGAUCAUGGUCACUGGCUCCUGCUGCAUGUCAGCGUCUCCCUGUCACCCAGGCCCGCCCCAUCGCCAGGUGGCUUUGCCAGGUAACUCUCUGCUUCCCCCUGGUGGCCGCUCCACACUGUGGGCUGGGGGCUCAGGGACUUCCUGGGUCUAGGUGUGGAUUCAGAACCUGCUGUUCAGGUCCCUGAUGCCCUGAUCCGAGGACUGCUGGUCCCAGGGGAGGAACACCUCUUCUCUGUGUGGCCCCUGCCUGACUCAAGAUCAGGUACAAGGGGCUCAGCU
rnacentral:lncRNA from 1 species